CCAGACUCCUACGGGAGGCAGCAGUGGGGAAUAUUGGGCAAUGGGCGCAAGCCUGACCCAGCAACGCCGCGUGAAGGAAGAAGGCCCUCGGGUUGUAAACUUCUUUUAUCAGGGACGAAACAAAUGACGGUACCUGAUGAAUAAGCCACGGCUAACUACGUGCCAGCAGCCGCGGUAAUACGUAGGGGGCGAGCGUUGUCCGGAAUCACUGGGCGUAAAGGGCGCGUAGGCGGUAAUAUAAGUCAGAUGUGAAAGGUGGGGGCUCAACCCCUAGAGUGCAACUGAUACUGUAUAACUUGAGUGUGAGAGAGGGAAGCGGAAUUCCUAGUGUAGCGGUGAAAUGCGUAGAUAUUAGGAGGAACACCAGUGGCGAAGGCGGCGUUCUGGCUCAUAACUGACGCUGAGGCGCGAAAGCGUGGGGAGCAAACAGGAUUAGAUACCCUAGUAACG
rnacentral:rRNA from 1 species